rnacentral:tRNA from 1 species
UAGCUCAGCUGGAUAGAGCAACGGCCUUCUAAGCCGUAGGUCGCACGUUCGAGUCGUGC